ACCAACUCAUCGUGAGAUCCUAUUUCAAUCACUCUCCCUGAUUGAAGAACCGCUAUCAAAUCAGCCUUGCGGAUAGUGAUUGAGCAUCCAAAGCACUUGUGGCUUCAUCAAGCAAAAGAAUUUCCGGGUCUCUGAUUAUUGCUCUUGCUAUGGAAAUCCUUUGCAUUUGUCCUCCAGACAAUUGGACUCCAAAUUGCCCAACCUGAAGUGAAAGGGCGGAUUGGAACUUGGGACCUCUUCUAACAUUGGGAAGAGAAGUAUCACUACACCAAUAGGUAGUUGGAAUUACAUGGACCGUCCUCAACUUACACCUUUGUGGACAAAUGGUGUGGAGACUGAUUGCUUUGCAGUUUUAUCAGAGAAUGGUAGGCACCGCCACGU